GGGGGGAUGGAGGAGCUGGUCCAAGACUAUUUCUGCCUGACUCCCUGCCUUUUCAGGACAGUGAGAGCAGUGGCUGAAGGCCAGGACUGUUGACACUGCGCAGACUGUCUGCAUUCCAUUGCAAUCUUCCAGCUGCCCGCAGUGCGUCUCACCGCUCAGGAUGCUGAGAUUCUCUGAUUCGGCUGGAUAAUUUGCUCAGGUCCCAUAGCAGAAAAGACUCAGAAAAAGUCCUUCAAGAAAAAUCCCAGUUUGGCUUUGCAGAAAGAGUGCAGACAUUGGAGGGAUACAGACUUUAAAUCUCACUUCUGUUAUGUAACUGUGCAAAUCUUGUCACCCUUUGGUUUCCUCUGAAGAGUGGGGUUUGUAACAUUUAUCGCCCAGAGUUCCUGCGAAGAUGAAAUAAACAUGGAAUAGCUGGAA
rnacentral:lncRNA from 1 species